rnacentral:rRNA from 1 species
CGAGCGGACCGACGGGAGCUUGCUCCCUUAGGUCAGCGGCGGACGGGUGAGUAACACGUGGGUAACCUGCCUGUAAGACUGGGAUAACUCCGGGAAACCGGGGCUAAUACCGGAUGCUUGAUUGAACCGCAUGGUUCCAAUCAUAAAAGGUGGCUUUUAGCUACCACUUACAGAUGGACCCGCGGCGCAUUAGCUAGUUGGUGAGGUAACGGCUCACCAAGGCGACGAUGCGUAGCCGACCUGAGAGGGUGAUCGGCCACACUGGGACUGAGACACGGCCCAGACUCCUACGGGAGGCAGCAGUAGGGAAUCUUCCGCAAUGGACGAAAGUCUGACGGAGCAACGCCGCGUGAGUGAUGAAGGUUUUCGGAUCGUAAAACUCUGUUGUUAGGGAAGAACAAGUACCGUUCGAAUAGGGCGGCACCUUGACGGUACCUAACCAGAAAGCCACGGCUAACUACGUGCCAGCAGCCGCGGUAAUACGUAGGUGGCAAGCGUUGUCCGGAAUUAUUGGGCGUAAAGCGCGCGCAGGCGGUUUCUUAAGUCUGAUGUGAAAGCCCCCGGCUCAACCGGGGAGGGUCAUUGGAAACUGGGGAACUUGAGUGCAGAAGAGGAGAGUGGAAUUCCACGUGUAGCGGUGAAAUGCGUAGAGAUGUGGAGGAACACCAGUGGCGAAGGCGACUCUCUGGUCUGUAACUGACGCUGAGGCGCGAAGCGUGGGG